UCUCCUUCUCACUCAACUCUCUCAACUCGACCUAGAACUCGCGAAACUAGAAAACUCAAACACCAGCCUCUCUCCUUCUCAUUGUGCUCUCUCAGAUCUCGAUUUUCACUCUCUCUAUUCUUCUUCAUAGUCUCUCCUUCUUCUUCUUAGUCUCUACUUCAUCUUUCAUGUUCGUAUUAAUGGAGCUCUCCAGCAAGAGCUGUUUUCAAAUCGGAUAUUGGGAAACUUGGUGCUACAAAAGGAUUUGCUGGCAAGGCUCACUGCUCGUAGUGUAGUGCAGAAAAACAGAAGGCUUGUUUGUCUAAAUUUCUGGGGAGUCUUUUUCCCCAAUCAAUUUAUGGGUCUUGUUUAAUCGAGUUCUUCAGUAUCAGAAACUUUCUUUUGAUCUGUCGGGCACUUGCUUAUUUACAGAAUGGCAUUGGCAUCUGUCACCGUGACAUCAAGCCUCAAAAUUUACUUGUAAGAUUAUUUUUCCAUAUGGAUGGUUGCUUUUGUAUGACUC